rnacentral:rRNA from 1 species
CCUACGGGGGACAGCAGUAGGGAAUAUUGCUCAAUGGGGGAAACCCUGAAGCAGCAACGCCGCGUGGAGGAUGAAGGUUUUCGGAUUGUUAACUCCUUUUGUUAGAGAAGAUAAUGACGGUAUCUAACGAAUAAGCAACGGCUAACUCCGUGCAAGCAGCCGCGGUAAUACGGAGGGUGCAAGCGUUACUCGGAAUCACUGGGCGUAAAGCGGGCGUAGGCGGGAUAGCAAGUCAGAUGUGAAAGCCUAUGGCUUAACCAUAGAACUGCAUUUGAAACUGUUAUUCUAGAGUAUGGGAGAGGUAGGUGGAAUUCGUGGUGUAGGGGUAAAAUCCGUAGAGAUCAAGAGGAAUACUCAUUGCGAAGGCGACCUGCUAGAACAUAACUGACGCUGAGGCGCGAAAGCGUGGGGAGCAAACAGGAUUAGAUACCCCUGUAGUC